GGGCCGGGCGGGCUCGGGGCGGCCGGGACGAGGAGGGGCGACGACGAGCUGCGAGCAAAGAUGUGCCCCGGGACCCCCGGCACCUUCCAGUGGAUUUCCUUGCGGAAAGGAUGUUGGCGGUCCCUGUGACCUGUGGAGACACGGCCAGAUCUGCCCUCCAGUGGGAAGUGAGUGAUGACCCUGAAGUGAGGACUCAUCUCUAGAUCUCCAAGGGCUGCAGCUCAGCCAGCACUUUACAAGGGUGAUCUGGAGCCAAACUGGCCUGUUGGCUGACCAUAGGUGACUCUGGGUAGCCCAUACCCAGGCUCAGCAGCAGUUGGGGAGCUGCCUCGAUUUCUGGUUACAGAAUUCCUGGAACUGAGUCACUGCAGUAAUUGCUGUGAUGAAUUGUGUUUACUUUGUGUGGGAUUCCAAACUGUAGCAGCAGUGACUACAGCUGGAAGACAGCAUGAUCAGCAGCUUCCAAGGCAGAGCCUGGCGUCAGAAAGCUGCAUUGCGCUAAUGCUGAAGCCUGUGGGAGCCUGUUGGAGAGACACUUGGAUGUUUAGCGAGCUGGUGACUCUCCUUGUCAUGAGCCUGAUCUUUUGGCCAGAAGGAGAUUAAAAAGAUGCCCCUCAAGAUGGCUGUGCCUGUCAGCUGCAUGGAGCUUCGUUCAAGUAUUUUCUGAGCCUGAUGGAUUUACAGUGAUCUUCAGUGGUCUGGGGAAUAACGCUGGUGGAACCAUGCACUGGAAUGACACACGCCCGGCACAUUUCAGGAUACUAAAAGUGGUUUUAAGGGAGGCUGUGGCUGAAUGCCUCAUGGAUUCUUACAGCUUGGAUGUCCAUGGGGGACGAAGGACUGCAGCUGGCUGAGAGGGUUGAGAUCUCUGUUUACUUAGAUCUCUGCCAACUUCCUUUGGGUCUCCCUAUGGAAUGUAAGACCCCGACUCUUCCUGG
rnacentral:lncRNA from 1 species